AAUGGGCGCAAGCCUGAUCCAGCCAUGCCGCGUGAGUGAUGAAGGCCCUAGGGUCGUAAAGCUCUUUCGCCUGUGAAGAUAAUGACGGUAGCAGGUAAAGAUACCCCGGCUAACUCCGUGCCAGCAGCCGCGGUAAUACGGAGGGGGUUAGCGUUGUUCGGAAUUACUGGGCGUAAAGCGCGCGUAGGCGGAUUAGUCAGUCAGAGGUGAAAUCCCAGGGCUCAACCCUGGAACUGCCUUUGAUACUGCUAGUCUUGAGUUCGAGAGAGGUAAGUGGAAUUCCGAGUGUAGAGGUGAAAUUCGUAGAUAUUCGGAGGAACACCAGUGGCGAAGGCGGCUUACUGGCUCGAUACUGACGCUGAGGUGCGAAAGUGUGGGGAGCAAACAGGAUU
rnacentral:rRNA from 1 species